AUACCUUAGCCUCACAACAAGAUAUAUGAACUGAAGUGAACUGGGUAACAAACAAACAUGUAAAAAACGAGAAGAUUGAUAACAGUGAAAACAAAGCAUGAUUCUGAGUCUUAAUUCUUCUUCUUAUUGCUUCUUCUUCUAUCUUCAACCUUCAAUUUUACACAAUACUCACACAAAACUCUCUUUCCCAAUUCACUCACACAACAAAACCCCAUCUUCAUUAAAUGCUACUCCCACCCCCCUUUUCCUCCCAUUGCUCGAACAACAAGAACGUGAAGAAAAACAACAACAACAACAACAACAACAACAUAAAUUAGAACAAAAACAGGAAGAAGAAGAAGAACAACAACAACAACAAGAACAAGAAGAAGAAGAAGAAGAACAAACCUAUUAUGAUGACCCAAUUUACAAAUUCUUCAAAACCAGAACUAUGGUUUCAUCCCAAAACCCUAAAAAAGAAGGAAAAUUGUUACUUCAUAAGAACCGUCGCCCGGCAUGGAAACUUGCUUCACAAGAAGAUGAAAUGGGUAUGGAGGAAAUGCCGCCUUUAUUGGUUGAAGACAAUGAAGAAAUGGGGUCACAAAAGAAGAAACCAUCAUCGCCUGAAGGAGUUGUUGGUGAAAUUGUUCAUAUUGCAAGGAAUUUACCACAAAGUUUGACUAUUGAAGAAGCUUUGGGAGAGUAUGUUAAAAAGGUCAAUGAGAAAGAGUGUUUAGAGGUUAUGGAGAUACUUGGGAAAGAAAACCUUGUGGGGCGUUGUUUGUAUUUCUUUCAAUGGAUGAGGUCUCAUGAACGAUCACUUGUUACACCAAAGGCUUUUACUUUGCUGUUUCCUUUGUUGGGAAGAGCAAGUAUGGGUGAUAAAUUGUUGGUUUUGUUGCCUUCUAUCAAGGAAUUUAGAAGUGUUUCUGUUUAUAAUGCUGCGAUUUCAGGUCUUCUUUCUGAUGGAAGGUAUGAAGAUGCUUGGAAGGUUUACGAGUCGAUGGAAACUGAUAAUAUUCUUCCAGAUCAUGUGACAUGCUCUAUUGUGAUUAUUGUUAUGAGAAAACUUGGCCAUAGCGCAAAAGAUGCAUGGCAGUUUUUUGAGAAAAUGAACAGAAAAGGAGUCAGAUGGAGCGAAGAAGUCCUUGGUGCAUUGAUAAAGUCAUUUUGUAUAGAGGGUUUGCUGAGUGAAGCUCUCAUCAUCCAAUCCGAAAUACGGAAGAAAGGGAUUUCUUCAAAUGCAAUUGUGUACAACACUCUGAUGGACGCAUUUUGUAAAUCAAAUCGCGUGGAGGAAGCCGAAGGUCUUUUCGUUGAGAUGAAAGCUAUAAGGAUUAAACCGAACGCAGCUACCUUCAACAUUCUAAUGCAUGCAUACAGCCGAAGAAGGCAACCAAAGAUUGUAGAGAAUCUGCUUGAAGAAAUGCAUGACUUUGGCUUGAAGCCAAAUGCAAAUUCGUAUACCUGUCUUAUCAGUGCGUAUGGGAGGCGGAAAACGAUGAGCGACAUGGCAGCAAAUGCAUUCUUGAAGAUGAAGAGAGUUGGUAUAAAACCCACUUCACAUUCCUAUACAGCAUUGAUCCAUGCAUAUUCGGUUAGUGGCUGGCACGAGAAAGCUUAUGUGACAUUUGAGAACAUGUUAAAGGAAGGUAUAAAACCUCCAAUAGAAACCUACACUACUUUACUAGAUGCGUCCAGACGUACUGGUGACACAGAAACAUUGAUGAAAAUAUGGAAGCUGAUGAGGAACCAGAAAGUUAAAGGAACAAAGGUUACAUUCAACAUUCUUGUCGACGGCUUUGCCAAACAAGGUCUCUUCAUGGAAGCAAGAGAUGUAAUCUCUGAAUUCGGGAAGUUCGGAUUGAAACCAACGGUGGUGACAUAUAAUAUGCUGAUGAAUGCAUAUGCACGAGGAGGGGUAGACUCGAAGCUUCCGCAGUUGUUGAAAGAGAUGGAAGCUCUUAAGUUAAGACCAGAUUCUGUAACAUAUUCAACUAUCAUAUAUGCUUUUGUCCGUGUUCGAGACUAUAAGCGGGCAUUUUUUUAUCACAAGGAGAUGGUCAAAAGUGGGCAGGUUAUGGAUAUCAGUUCUUACCGGAAGCUUCGCGAUAUUCUCGAUGUCAAAGCUGCAGACAAGAACAGGAGUGAUAAGGUAGCUUUGCUUGGUAUAGUUAACAAAAAGAUGGGUAUUGUGAAAUAUAAAGGGAAAAAAGAUGAGUUUUGGAAGUACAAGACAGGACGUGCAAUAAGAACUUAGUUCUUCUGAUGUUGAUGUAUAGUAAAAGUGGAGAAAGAAACGGGCACAUAGCAGAACAUGUUUGAGUUCAUUCUUCUUGUUCUUAGUAAUUAGCAUACAUCAUGUUUUAUUGUAUGCCUCAGACACACUAUGAAGAGAAGGUCUUUGCUUUGAAUAGUUUUGUUCUCCUUAACUAGUGAAAACAUAUUGAAUGCAGUUAUAUUGUUGCCAGUGUCUGUGCAAUUCAUAUUCACAAAUUAUUGCCAUUGUCUGUACAAUUCUAUUACUUAGCUGAAAAUGCAAGAAAAAGAAGAAAGGAAGUCUUCCUCAGCACACAUAUCUUGACUACACCAUCGCCAAUCUCUUGGCUGCCUGUUAUCAUUGCUUUCACAUUUGGUCAAAUAGGCACUGAUCAUCCAAACUUCUUGUCUCAGCUUACUCAGGAGGAAGUCGAUGGUUCCAAUGAAUACAAUAAUUUCCAGCAUGGUUCAAUUAACACUACCAAGCAGCUUAUCCAAGACUUAGAAAAUAUUGACUAGUGAAACUUCUGUGAAUUGAUGGUCAAUGGAUUUUUCCUUUUAUCAAAUAUGCUUCAAGUAUGUAUCUGUUUGGUUUCAUAUUGAAUUGAUUUAGUCUGCUGUCAAAUAUACUUUUAGUAAAAAUGUGAAUGGUUUCUAUCACACAAAAUUGUCUUUAAACUUUGGUUUGGUUAGAAUGGAAAAAAAAGCUUACAUGGUCUUUUACAUCAAA